rnacentral:rRNA from 1 species
AACGAACGCUGGCGGCGCGUCUUAAGCAUGCAAGUCGAACGGCAAGAUUGGUGCUUGCACCGAUCCUAGAGUGGCGGACUGGUGAGUAACGCGUGGGUGACGUACCCUAAGGAUGGGGAUAGCUGGUAGAAAUAUCAGAUAAUACCGAAUAUCCUUAUUGUUGUUAGAGGACAGUAAGGAAAGGAGCUUUGGCUUCGCCUAAGGAUCGGCCCGCGUACUAUUAGCUAGUUGGUGAGGUAACGGCUCACCAAGGCGACGAUAGUUAUCCGGCCUAAGAGGGUGAACGGACACAUUGGGACUGAGAUACGGCCCAG